UCAGACUAUGUGUGCCCCAACACCUUGGG
rnacentral:piRNA from 1 species